rnacentral:tRNA from 1 species
CUGGUAGCUCAGUUGGAAGAGCAACAGAUUGUUAAUCUGUCGGUUACGGGUUCGAGUCCCGUCCAGA